UUCAAUCGAAUUCAAACUCAAUCAUCAUCGUAGCUCAAUCACAAUCUACAACCCUCGUAGCUCAAUCAAUUGUAGCUCAUUCAAGUUGUAACAUUUGUUUUUUGGGAUUCAAACUUCGUUCAUGUGAAGAGGAGCCAAGUAUUGUGUAAGAGACUUGCAAGGAAGGAUUUGCAAAGAAAUGUAGGCCUAUGAUGGUCAAUUAAUGGAAGCAAUAGGUAGGGAUGAUAACAAUUAAAGCUUUCCAAUUGGCUAUGUUAUUGUUGAAGUUGAGACCAAAGACUCAUGAUAAUGGUUCUUACACCUUCUUCUGUAAGAUUUAGAAGGAUUCAAUCAGAAAUCAUAUGCAUUUAUUUAUGACCAUCAAAAGGUAUUACUGCCCAUGUGAACUAGAGACUGUGUGUAAAACAUCUAUAUGGUAAUUGGAAGAAGAAGUACCAUGGACUAUAAUUAAAAGAGGUCAUGUGGGUAACUAAAAGGGCAACUACAAUAUCAACGCGGGAUAGAGCAAUACAAAGAAUGAAAACCUUAAAUUGAAGGUGCAUGGAAGGACGUGUUAGAAGUCCCAACCCAAUAUUCGAACAUAUCACACUUCAAGACCUAUACAAAGUGUGACCUAUUGGUAAACAACAUGUGUGGGGCCUUUAAUAGGUAAAAUUGAAGCAUAGGGACAAGCCUAUAAUCAAUUUAUUGGAAAGGAUCAAACAUUAUAUAACAAAUAGGACAAGUAGCCAAAAUGACUUGUUACAAAGGUAUAAUAGAUGUAUAUGUCCUAGAACUAAGCUAAUAAUUGAUAAGAAUAAAAAACAGGUCUAAGGAUAGUAACAAGAUAAAAAAUACUAAGACAUUUAGUGGAAAAUAAAAAAGAGUAGUUGACGUGGCAAUUCCAAAGGAUGGUAACAAGACAAAAAAUGCUAAGACAAAUAAGGGUGGAAAAAGAAAAAAAGACCAAUGAAAACCAUAUUGAAAUUGCAUAAGGAUCUCAAACACCUCAAGCUACUCAACCUAUUAAAUAUUAGAUGAGUUAGUGAAUUAAGUGGUUUAGGUGAUAUAUUAGAUGAAUUAAGUAGUUUAUGGAUGUAAUAUAUGCUUAUGUGGUAUUUUGAUGACUUUUUAGAAUUAAGUAUUUUGUUGUUUUUGAAUGAACAUCUUUGAUUAUUACAUAUUAGUAUUUUGGUUGUAAUGAACAUUGUUGAUGAUGACAUAUAAGUAUUUUGGUUGUAAUA